UACGGGGGGGGCAAGCGUUGUUCGGAAUUACUGGGCGUAAAGGGCGCGUAGGCGGUUCGCUAAGUUGAACGUGAAAACUCUGGGCUUAACCCAGAGCCUGCAUUCAAUACUGGCGGGCUAGAGUUCUGGAGGGGAUAGCGGAAUUCCUGGUGUAGCGGUGAAAUGCGUAGAUAUCUGGAGGAACACCGGUGGCGAAGGCGGCUAUCUGGACAGAGUCUGACGCUGAGGCGCGAAAGCUAGGGGAGCAAACAGG
rnacentral:rRNA from 1 species